UACGUAGGGACCAAGCGUUGUUCGGAUUUACUGGGCGUAAAGGGCGCGUAGGCGGCAAUUCAAGUCAUCUGUGAAAUCUCCGGGCUUAACUCGGAACGGUCAGAUGAUACUGCUUUGCUCGAGUGCGGAAGGGGCAAUCGGAAUUCUUGGUGUAGCGGUGAAAUGCGUAGAUAUCAAGAGGAACACCUGAGGUGAAGACGGGUUGCUGGGCUGACACUGACGCUGAGGCGCGAAAGCGUGGGGAGCAAACGGG
rnacentral:rRNA from 1 species